rnacentral:rRNA from 1 species
AUUGAACGCUGGCGGCAGGCCUAACACAUGCAAGUCGAGCGGAUGAAGGGAGCUUGCUCCUGGAUUCAGCGGCGGACGGGUGAGUAAUGCCUAGGAAUCUGCCUGGUAGUGGGGGAUAACGUCCGGAAACGGGCGCUAAUACCGCAUACGUCCUGAGGGAGAAAGUGGGGGAUCUUCGGACCUCACGCUAUCAGAUGAGCCUAGGUCGGAUUAGCUAGUUGGUGGGGUAAAGGCCUACCAAGGCGACGAUCCGUAACUGGUCUGAGAGGAUGAUCAGUCACACUGGAACUGAGACACGGUCCAGACUCCUACGGGAGGCAGCAGUGGGGAAUAUUGGACAAUGGGCGAAAGCCUGAUCCAGCCAUGCCGCGUGUGUGAAGAAGGUCUUCGGAUUGUAAAGCACUUUAAGUUGGGAGGAAGGGCAGUAAGUUAAUACCUUGCUGUUCUGACGGUACCAACAGAAUAAGCACCGGCUAACUUCGUG